rnacentral:lncRNA from 1 species
UGAACCUGGAGUAUCAGCCCAGCUCAGGCACCUUGGCAGAAUGGAUCCAGAGAGGCGCAGUCACCAGAGGGAGUAUGGAGAACUAGAGAGGCGCAGUCACCAGAGGGAGUAUGGAGAACCAGAGAGGCGCAGUCACCAGAGGGAGUAUGGAGAACCAGAGAGGCGCAGUCACCAGAGGGAGUAUGGAGAACCAGAGAGGCGCAGUCACCGACAGAAAGAGAGAGACGGGGACAGAUCUGAGAGGGACUGCCACUGACACUCUGGUGCCAGAGACAAGGACAGAGGGAGGGAGGAGGAAUAGUCAGAGAAAUGGACAGAUCUGAAGAGAUUGAGAGGGAGAUGGGGCACAGACACUCUAGUACCGGAGAGAGAGACAAGGAAAUACCGGUAGUCAGAGAAACUAAGAGAUCAGAAGGAAUGGAGAGAAAGACAGUAACAGAUCUGAGAGAGUCAGAGAUCCAGAAGAGACUUGGACAGGGGGAGGCCGAGCGAGAGACUGGGACAGGGGGAGGCCGGGCCGAGCGAGCGACUGGGACAGGGGGAGGCCGGGCCGAGCGAGCGACUGGGACAGGGGGGGAGGCCGGGCCGAGCGAGCGACUGGGACAGGGGGAGGCCGGGCCGAGCGAGCGACUGGGACAGGGGGAGGCCGGGCCGAGCGAGCGACUGGGCAGGGGGAGGCCGGGCCGAGCGAGCGACUGGGACGGGACAGACCUGAGCAGCACAGGGACAGAUCUGAGAGGGAAAAGAGAAAAGGGAAAGCGAGCCCUCAUUUAAACAUCUUAGUACUUCCUCAUUACCAUCAGACAGCGCCAGCCCCCUUCUAAACCAGCACUCAAACAUGACCGUUGAAUACAGCAGCUCUAGUGACAGGGUAUGGGCACGGCACAGAUACACAUGAGUAGAAACAACAAACAUCAGUCAAUAAUACAGUAUAAACAAGUCUAUAUACAAUGUGAGCAAAUGGG